rnacentral:rRNA from 1 species
CCUACGGGCGGCAGCAGUGAGGAAUAUUGGGCAAUGGGCGCGAGCCUGAACCAGCCAAGUAGCGUGAAGGAUGACUGCCCUACGGGUUGUAAACUUCUUUUAUAGAGGAAUAAAGUGAGGCACGUAAGCAUUUGUGAAUGUACUUUAUGAAUAAGGAUCGGCUAACUCCGUGCCAGCAGCCGCGGUAAUACGGAGGGUACGAGCGUUAUCCGGAUUUAUUGGGUUUAAAGGGAGCGUAGAUGGGGUGUUAAGUCAGUUGUGAAAGUUUGCGGCUCAACCGUAAAAUUGCAAUUGAUACUGGCAGUCUUGAGUACAGUUGAGGUAGGCGGAAUUCGUGGUGUAGCGGUGAAAUGCUUAGAUAUCACGAAGAACUCCGAUUGCGAAGGCAGCUUACUAACCUGUCACUGACAUUGAUGCGCGAAAGUGUGGGUAUCAAACAGGAUUAGAUACCCUUGUAGUC